GGUAAUGGCAGAGUUCUUGUUGUAGAUGGUGGUGGCAGUCUGCGGUGCGCAAUAUUGGGAGGCAAUCCUGUUGUACAAGCUCAGAAUAACGGAUGGGCAGGUAUAGUGGUUAAUGGCUGCAUUAGGGAUGUUGAUGAGAUCAAUGGCUGUGAUAUUGGAGUUAGGGCUCUGGCUUCCCAUCCUAUGAAAGCCAAUAAGAAGGGGAUCGGGGAGAAACAUGUACCAAUAACCAUUGGAGGGACAAGAAUCAGUGAUGGUGAAUGGCUUUAUGCUGACACUGAUGGGAUCCUUAUUUCUCGAACCGAGCUAUCUAUUUGAGUCGCCUUCUCCUAGAAAGAUAGCAUUUUCUAAAAGCCAUUAAUGGCAAUUAACUUAUAUAGUAAUGGUUUUUUGUAAGCUUGUGUUCUUGAGCUCAUGCUUGAAUCUUAGAACAUUGUGUAAUGUGCUCUGUACUUGCAAGAAUGAGAUAUUUU
rnacentral:misc_RNA from 1 species